rnacentral:rRNA from 1 species
GACGGAGGAUGCAAGUGUUAUCCGGAAUCACUGGGCGUAAAGCGUCUGUAGGUUGUUUAAAAAGUCUGCAGUUAAAGGUUGAAGCUUAAACUUCAAAAAUGACCGUAGAAACUUUUAAACUUAAGAGGAUGGUAGGGGUAGAGGGAAUUUCCGAGUGGAGCGGUGAAAUGUGUAGAUAUUGGAAAGACCACCGAUGGCGAAGGCACUCUACUGGGCCAUGACUGACACUGAGAGACGAAAGCUAGGGGAGCGAAUGGG